CCUACGGGAGGCAGCAGUGGGGAAUAUUGGGCAAUGGGCGCAAGCCUGACCCAGCAACGCCGCGUGAAGGAAGAAGGCUUUCGGGUUGUAAACUUCUUUUCUCAGGGACGACGCAAGUGACGGUACCUGAGCAAUAAGCCACGGCUAACUACAUGCCAGCAGCCGCGGUAAUACUUAGGUGGCAAGCGUUAUCCGGAUUUACUGGGUGUAAAGGGAGCGUAGGCCGGCUUUUAAGUCAGCUUGGAAAGUCCGCGGCUCAACCGUGGAAUUGUAGGUGAAAAUGGAGGCCUUGAGUGCACACAGGGAUGCCGGAAUUUAUGGGGGAGCGGUGAAAUGCUUAGAUAUCAUGAAGAACGCCGAUCGCGAAGGGAAGUGUCCGGGGUGCAAAUGACGCUGAGGCUCGAAAGUGCGGGUAUCAAACAGGAUUAGAUACCCUUGUAGUC
rnacentral:rRNA from 1 species